rnacentral:rRNA from 1 species
CCUACGGGGGGCAGCAGUGGGGAAUAUUGCACAAUGGGGGAAACCCUGAUGCAGCGACGCCGCGUGAGUGAAGAAGUAUCUCGGUACGUAAAGCUCUAUCAGCAGGGAAGAAAAUGACGGUACCUGUCUCAGAAGCCCCGGCUAACUACGUGCCAGCAGCCGCGGUAAUACGUAGGGGGCAAGCGUUAUCCGGAUUUACUGGGUGUAAAGGGAGCGUAGACGGCAGCGCAAGUCUGGAGUGAAAUGCCGGGGCCCAACCCCGGAACUGCAUUGGAAACUGUGCAGCUCGAGUGCAGGAGAGGUAAGCGGAAUUCCUAGUGUAGCGGUGAAAUGCGUAGAUAUUAGGAGGAACACCAGUGGCGAAGGCAGCUUACUAAACUGUGACUGACAUUGAUGCUCGAAAGUGUGGGUAUCAAACAGGAUUAGAUACCCCUGUAGUC